UGGGCAUGUGAGACCUUGCCCAGGAACAUCUGGCUACUUACUUUAAAAGCCGUGACUAUACUUAGCUGCAUAAAAAAAGUCCUUUGGUCCUUUCCUCUGGAUUCCAGGGCAGAUGAACCAGGCAAACAAUGUUUCAGCUAUUGCUGUAAACUUGCAGGAACCUCUGCUUCUUAAGUACCUUUUAAGCUUCCAGGACUCCCUAUCAAGUAAUUACCAUGCUAAAUUGUAAAGAACCAUAAACCCUUUCUCCCAGAUCCCUAUGGCCUAUUCCAGGGAAUAAGGGUUAGCAGAGGCAGUAUUCAGGCUUGCUUUGUUCUUCUUCUUUUGUUUUCUUUUCUCUUUCUUUCUUUUCUUUCUUUCCUUACUUUUUUUUUUUUUUGACAGAGUUCUGCUCGUGUUGCCCAGGCUGGAGUGCAGUGGCACAAUCUCC
rnacentral:lncRNA from 10 species